rnacentral:rRNA from 1 species
AGCGAACGCUGGCGGCAGGCCUAACACAUGCAAGUCGAACGAACUCUUCGGAGUUAGUGGCGGACGGGUGAGUAACACGUGGGAACGUGCCUUUUGGUUCGGAAUAACUCAGGGAAACUUGUGCUAAUACCGAAUGUGCCCUUCGGGGGAAAGAUUUAUCGCCAUUAGAGCGGCCCGCGUCUGAUUAGCUAGUUGGUGAUGUAACGGCUCACCAAGGCGACGAUCAGUAGCUGGUCUGAGAGGAUGACCAGCCACACUGGGACUGAGACACGGCCCAGACUCCUACGGGAGGCAGCAGUGGGGAAUAUUGCGCAAUGGGCGAAAGCGUGACGCAGCCAUGCCGCGUGAAUGAUGAAGGUCUUAGGAUUGUAAAAUUCUUUCACCGGGGACGAUAAUGACGGUACCCGGAGAAGAAGCCCCGGCUAACUUCGUG